GAAUGCUGACAUAAGUAACGAUAAAGCGGGUGAAAAGCCCGCUCGCCGGAAGACCAAGGGUUCCUGUCCAACGUUAAUCGGGGCAGGGUGAGUCGACCCCUAAGGCGAGGCCGAAAGGCGUAGUCGAUGGGAAACGGGUUAAUAUUCCCGUACUUGGUGUUACUGCGAAGGGGGGACGGAGAAGGCUAUGUUGGCCGGGCGACGGUUGUCCCGGUUUAAGCGUGUAGGUGUGUGUUCCAGGUAAAUCCGGUUCACUUUAACACUGAGGCGUGAUGACGAGGCACUACGGUGCUGAAGCAACAAAUGCCCUGCUUCCAGGAAAAGCCUCU
rnacentral:rRNA from 1 species